UACAGAGGUCUCAAGCGUUGUUCGGAUUCAUUGGGCGUAAAGGGUGCGUAGGCGGCGCGGUAAGUCGGGUGUGAAAUCUUGGAGCUUAACUCCGAAACUGCAUUCGAUACUGCCGUGCUUGAAGACUGGAGAGGAGACUGGAAUUUACGGUGUAGCGGUGAAAUGCGUAGAUAUCGUAAGGAAGACCAGUGGCGAAGGCGGGUCUCUGGACAGUUCCUGACGCUGAAGCACGAAGGCCAGGGGAGCAAACGGG
rnacentral:rRNA from 1 species